rnacentral:rRNA from 1 species
ACGAUGAACGGAGCUGCUCUGGGGAUUAGUGGCGAACGGGUGAGUAACACGUGGGCAACCUGCCCCUAACUCUGGGAUAACUCCUCGAAAGAGGUGCUAAUACCGGAUAUGAACCGGGAAGACAUCUUCCUGGUUGGAAAGUUAUUCGGUUAGGGAUGGGCCCGCGGCCUAUCAGCUUGUUGGUGAGGUAACGGCUCACCAAGGCUACGACGGGUAACCGGCCUGAGAGGGCGACCGGUCACACUGGGACUGAGACACGGCCCAGACUCCUACGGGAGGCAGCAGUGGGGAAUAUUGCGCAAUGGACGAAAGUCUGACGCAGCGACGCCGCGUGAGGGAUGAAGGUCUUCGGAUUGUAAACCUCUUUCAGCAGGGACGAAGCGAAAGUGACGGUACCUGCAGAAGAAGCACCGGCUAACUACGUGCCAGCAGCCGCGGUAAUACGUAGGGUGCAAGCGUUGUCCGGAUUUAUUGGGCGUAAAGAGCUCGUAGGCGGUUUGACACGUCGGAUGUGAAAACUCGGAGCUUAACUCCGAGCCUGCAUUCGAUACGGUCUAACUAGAGUGUGGUAGGGGAAACUGGAAUUCCUGGUGUAGCGGUGAAAUGCGCAGAUAUCAGGAGGAACACCGAUGGCGAAGGCAGGUUUCUGGGCCACCACUGACGCUG